UAGGCACCACCUCAUCCUCCCAGCUCAAACAAACAACAGCAAACAAGCAAACUGCAAGAAUUAGGAGAUAUCCAGUCUCUCUUCCUGUGUUCUUCAUCUGCUAACAGAAAUAGUAAACAGCUAACCACCAGGCCACACAAGCAACGUUUGGGUGACUGGCAGCUCAAUGGCGCAGCCUACGUGUGGAGACGUGUAAUAACACGCACAGUGCAGCCGGCGGCCCCAAGCUCCGACUCGGCGUGAGCAGACUGUGGCUUUGGAAACAUCAUAGGCACAUGCACCUUCUACUGCACCACGGCUUCCACUGUGAUGUUUACAACUAUUUAAAGCGUCACCUAGAAUGGCCAUGCGCAUCUGUGUGUACAGGACGAGGAUGUCACUGAAGUCCAAAGGCUCCCUGAUUGGCUAGUGUCAAGUGGCUGGCGUGAAGGGGAAUAGCUGAUGCAGAGAUCUUCACUGUGGAAAGGUGGCUGACA